AGUGAACGCUGGCAGUAGGCCUAACACAUGCAAGUCGAACGGUAGCACAGAGGAGCUUGCUCCUUGGGUGGCGAGUGGCGGAUGGGUGAGGAAUACAUCGGAAUCUACUCUGUCGUGGGGGAUAACGUAGGGAAACUUACGCUAAUACCGCAUACGACCUACGGGUGAAAGCAGGGGAUCUUCGACCCCUGCGCUAUUUAAUGAGCCGAUGUUGGAUUAGGUAGUUGGCGGGGUAAAGGACCACCAAGGCGAAGAUCCGUAGCUGGUCUGAGAAGAUGAUCAGCCACACUGGAACUGAGACACGGUCCAGACUCCUACGGGAGGCAGCAGUGGGGAAUAUUGGACAAUGGGCGCAAGCCUGAUCCAGCCAUACCGCGUGGGUGAAGAAGGCCUUCGGGUUGUAAAGCCCUUUUGUUGGGAAAGAAAUCCAUCUGGUUAAUACCCGGGUGGGAUGACGGUACCCAAAGAAUAAGCACCGGCUAACUUCGUGCCAGCAGCCGCCGUAA
rnacentral:rRNA from 1 species